AUGAUGAAGUUGCCAUCCUUGGACCAGGCAAGGAAAGUCUCGGGGCAACCUCUGCACACGGACCCCUCCAAGUGUCGUCAUCCACCCUGGAUCAUCAGACAGGCGCAGACAUCGCCUGGGUCCUCCUCAGUCCACCCGGGGUGGACACGCAGCCCUCCCUCCCUCGCUCUCCCCCUCCCCCUCCCNNNNNNNNNNNNNNNNNNNNNNNNNNNNNNNNNNNNNNNNNNNNNNNNNNNNNNNNNNNNNNNNNNNNNNNNNNNNNNNNNNNNNNNNNNNNNNNNNNNNCGCGGAGUCGGGGGCGGAGCAGAGGCUGGAGGUGCCCCGGCGCGAGAAGAGAGUAAACCUCUGGCAGGCAAGGGGUGUGGGUCCCACUGGGAGCCUUGGCCGCUCACCUGGGCCCAGCCCAGCCCCCUGAGAUGGGCUCCGUCUCCUCAGCGCUGGCGCGGUCCCGGUCCCGCAACGCCGUGGUGCAGUUGGGCUCGUCGCCACCGCCCCAGCCCGAGGCGCCUCCGGCUGCCCCCGCUGCUCGCGGAGACCGUUUUGCGCUCCACAAGACCGGGAGGCUUGGACCAGGGUCCGCAGCCUGGGAGUCUCAGCGGAUAGCACCGAGCCCGGAGGGGCGCGCGAAGUUGGCGAGUCCGGAGCUGUCCCCGGUGCUGAACAGUGACGAGAGUAUGCCUCAGUCCCAGCUGUCUCGAAGCCCCAGCGCUGCGGGUAAGUUUCCUCCUUUCUGUAAGGAUCGCGGGGAGCCGCUCUGUGGAGACCUAAAGGGGCCCUUUUUAACUUCAAAGGGAGAAGUGAAAGCUCUGUCUCUCAACAGGAUUUCGGCUUUCUUGUUCUCUUGCCCAUAAUUUGCCCAGAAUCUCUUGCCCAUAAAAAUUGCCCAUUAACUUUCACAAGUUAAGACUCAUUUCUGACUCAUUUCAAUACGGAGUUAUUUCAGAAGGAUCAUCUUUCACAGGCGUUUAAACAGUAGCUGGCAAGGCAGUUUACCCCCUAAGGAUCCCUUUCCCCAUCUUUGCACUGGCGUCUGCACCAACGGGAAACAUAGUCCUUGUUGUUUUGGAAAGGAGGUGUACCUGUCUCCCAGGGGAACUGGAAAAAGGACAGGAGAUUCCUGCUUGUCCAAGACUUAUGGAAAAAGGACAGGAGAUUCCUGCUUGUCCAAUUCCUGCUUCACCAUGUGUGAAAAAGGAAACCUGUCUCUGCUGAAGGGACGUGGGGUGUGUGGUUGGGGGAGGACACUUUAAGGGUAAAGAGAGAAGCGAAGAGAGCACAUGAGAUUUGGGGUUGGUGGUGGGUCUGGAUCUCCAUCACCUGCUUUCAUUGUGAUCUUGGGCAGGAUACUCUCCUUGUGCCUCAGUUUUAUCAUCUGUGACAUAGAGAUGAUACUAAUACAUUUCUCACUAGGUAGCUAGAAAACCUAACCAGACACUGUGCAUGUAGAAGUGCUGAGUGCUAUACCUGAACCAGAUCUCUAAAACUUUUCGGCUGAAACUGAAGGGAACUGUAAAACUUCAGUUUUGGGUUUAAGAUAUUCAAAGGUCCAUUUCAUAGGGUAGGUCCUGUUUUUGUGUAAGUGGGAGGAAAAGUCCUUAGUUGGUACAUGUAAUUUAAAAAAAAUCACACUAGAAAGGUUACUAAAUACAUCAGCUGGUCUUUUGGUCUCAUACAUAAAUCCUCACUUUCAUCCCAAGCAAGGUUGUGAUGCUCAUUGCUAUUGUCCAUUGAGUUUUCAAGAAGGACUCAUUAGAUUUCGUGGGCAAUAUUAGUUCCUCUAAAGAGAAAAAGUGGAGUGAGGGACUGACUCACACUUUGACUCAUGAGAGGUCAGGAUAUAUGAAUCCUUAUUCCCUUGAGAAUUUUCUUGAGUUUAUGGCUUUUAUUUGUUAUUAUUUCACUCAAACAGCUUUUUAAAACAAAAAUUAAGAGAAUACACAUGCAUAUUGCCCUUGAAUGGAUUCAUCAUUAUACAAUAUGUUAGUUUUUCCCAUUUAUAGGAUAUUUUUGUGGUGUUAGUGGAAAGAGAACCAGAUUUGGAGUUAGGAUACCUAGGUCUUGCUAAGCUUUACCUCCUAGGGCUACUGCUGCUGCUGCUGCUAACUUGCUUCAGGCAUGUCUGACUCUGCGACCCCAUAGAUGGCAGCCCACCAGGCUCCCCCAUCCCUGGGAUUCUCCAGGCAAGAACACUGGAGUGGGUUGCCAUUUCCUUCUUCAAUGCAUGAAAGUGAAAAGUGAAAGGGAAGUCACUCAGUCGUGUCCGACUCUUCGCGACCCCAUGGACUGCAGCCCCCCAGGCUCCUCCGUUCAUGAGAUUCUCCAGGCAACAGUACUGGAGUGGGGUGCCAUCGCCUUCUCUGCCUCCUAGGGCAGGAGACCUCUAGUUUCUAAACCUGUGCUAUCUGCUCUUUUAAAAUGAGCACAAAUAGAGUUGUAGCACCAUAUCCUAUGCCAUGAAGCUCAAAGGAAACUAUGGAGAUAAAAAUUGGUUUGCAAACUGUAAGUACUAUACAAAGGUAAGGUAUUAUUCAAGCAUCCGGAGGCUUAAUAUUUUCUAAUGUGUAGGAUACAAAAUUUUUUUAGAUGAUCUUAUAGUCUAUCACAGUUACAUUGGAUGAAACAUGGAUUGUUUCUGCAAUGAUUCAAUGUUAGAUUAUAUAUGUGUGUGAUAUCAGUUAAAUUACAACUAUAUAUGCCUAUGGAAGAAUAUUAACAUAUUUUUCAUCAUACUUCUGGUGAUAUGGACAGCUUAUUUUUAUAUUGCAUAAUUCCUGAAAACUAACUUCUAAGAAUUUGCAUUGAAUUAAUUUCUGUUCUAGAUUUGAUGAAUGCAUCCUGGG
rnacentral:lncRNA from 1 species